GAUGCCCUCUGAGGUAGCUCAUAUUUUUGAAGGAUGUGAUGGAAGGCAGAACAAAUAACUGAGAAUGAACUUGGAAGAAUAGUGCCAUGGCUAAGUGGUGAUUAAGCAGCGAUGGAGAUAAAAAAAAAAAAAGAACAUGAAAAUGAUUUCUAGUCGGUUGACUAAGAAAAAUUACUUUCUUGGGAAAGUAAAUGUAGUUGGGGAGAAAGGAGUCGGGUUCUUAUUUACAGUCUCUACUAUGUUUAAGGGCUUUAGUCUGUGCUUCCAUUUAAUCCUCAGAGCAAUAUACAUAAGAUUCUUCAUGAUUGGAACUUCCUUUUGGUUCUUGGUCAGACGGAGUAUGUCCUAUAUUGCAAUGACAUAUCUUCGGUGGUUAAAAAUUGCCAAGUAGUUGUCUUAUUCUUGGAAAGGAAUCAAGG